UGGCCACCAAAUUUUAUUUAUCGGAGAUACAAAAGAGACAAGUGGAAAAAAUACAAAAGAUGAUUGAAGACGAUGAGAUCCGUUCGCUAAGGAAGGAGAUGGUUCCAAAAGCGCAGCUCAUGUCUUUUUUCGACAGGCCCUUCUUCCCUCAAAGAUCGAACCGGCCUUUAACGAUCCCGAGAGAGCCGAGUUUCCGGUCGGUGAAUUCAAAAUGCUGGAGCUGCAUAUUGGAGAAUGAGCUCUACUAUUUCCAGCAUGCUCACUCUUGGAAUCCCCAUCAAAUG